CCUACGUGGGGCAGCAGUGGGGAAUAUUGGACAAUGGGCGAAAGCCUGAUCCAGCCAUGCCGCGUGUGUGAAGAAGGCCUUCGGGUUGUAAAGCACUUUCAGUGGGGAAGAAAGCCUUGGGGCUAAUACCCUCGAGGAAGGACAUCACCCACAGAAGAAGCACCGGCUAACUCCGUGCCAGCAGCCGCGGUAAUACGGAGGGUGCGAGCGUUAAUCGGAAUUACUGGGCGUAAAGCGCGCGUAGGCGGUCUGAUAAGCCGGUUGUGAAAGCCCCGGGCUCAACCUGGGAACGGCAUCCGGAACUGUCAGGCUAGAGUGCAGGAGAGGAAGGUAGAAUUCCCGGUGUAGCGGUGAAAUGCGUAGAGAUCGGGAGGAAUACCAGUGGCGAAGGCGGCCUUCUGGACUGACACUGACGCUGAGGUGCGAAAGCGUGGGUAGCAAACAGGAUUAGAUACCCGUGUAGUC
rnacentral:rRNA from 1 species